rnacentral:lncRNA from 1 species
UUUUUUUAUCUAUAUAUAAUAAUUUAGCUCAAUUAACCAAUUAAAUACCUUAAAAUGUCUAAAUUCAUGUAUUUGAACCUUUAAUGAAAUUUCACAUUAUUACCUUAAACUUUCACCUUUUAUUCAAUUUAGCCCCUAAACUUGAAACUCACACAAUUAUCACAAUUAAGCCUAAAACCAAACUAGCAUAAUUUUUAUUUAUUCAUCUGCAACCCAAUAUUAUUGAAAUUUCAUAAGAAUAUCACCCUAAGUUCAUCAUUUUAUCAUUUUAGUCCCUAAGCUUAAAACUAUGCAAAAUCACUUUACAAAUUAGUCCAAACUCAUCAUCAAGCUUCAAACUAAACCAUUAACAACUAAAAAGCUUCAAGAAUAUCAAUGGCAAGUUUUUAAAACUUUGUCAGUUUCACAAAAUAGUCCCUGAGCUAUCUAGAUUAAGCCACAACGAUCUCAAAAACAUAAAAUUCAUGAAAAAUGGGUGAAAAUAAACUUACAUGCAAGGGUAUAAAUAAGACCAAAGCUUGAAGACUUAGAAACUAUAGAGUUUCGAUGGGGAAACCUCAAAUGGGGAAGAUGACAACAAUAGUUUAUGUUUUUACUUUUAUUAUUAUUUUAACAUUUUAAUAUAUAAUCACACAUAAUUUAAUUAUUCUGUAACCACAAACCAUCCAAUAUGAUCAAUUAUGGUCUAUUUACAAUAUAAAAUCUUCACUUUUACUUUUUAAGCCAUUUAAUUAAUAAAUAUCAAUACCAAUUAACUUUUACAACUUUUACAAUUUAAUCAAUUUUCCUUAAUUAACUCUCCAAAUGUCAAAAUUUCUGGACCAAAUUUUAAUACACCUAUAUAGUAACUCCGUAAAUAUUUAAUAAAAAUAUUUAUGGGCUCAGUUUAUAGAAAUAGGGUCCCGAUACCUCAAUUUCCAAAACUACUUGACUUUAGGGACAAACCACUUGUACUUAACCAUUUAUUCAAUUAUCAAAUCAAAAUUUAAUAUAAUAAUAUUUACAAACUCACUCAUUAGAUUUGUGGUCUCGAAAUUACUAUUUUUGGCACCACUAAAAAAUAGGAUGUUACAUAUUUCAUAUCAAAAUGCUUAGAUAAAAACCUCUUCGUUUCUUGCAGUAAGCCUAUAUCAUUAGUAGCAAGCAAAAUGUCAUCGACUUAUAGAACUAAGAAUAUAUACUUACUAUCACUGAAUUUGGGAUACACAUAAUCAUCAACAAUAUUCAUCUCAAAAUCGAAUGAGACAAUUACUUGAUGAAACUUGUGGUACUAUUAACGGAAAACUUGUUCGAGUCAAUAGAUGGAUUUUGUUAAUUUGCAAACCAUAUUCUUUGGGUCUCCCGACUCAAAGUUUUUUGGUUGCACCAUAUAAAUUGUUUCUUCAAUGUCGCCAUUGCGAAACGCAGUCUUAACAUUCAUCUAAUGUAACUCAAGAUCAAGAUGAGAAACAAGUGCCAUGAUUGUCCUAAAACAGUCUUUCGAUGAAACUAGAGAGAAAGUCUUUGUAAAAUCAAUGCCUUCUUUUUAAGUAUAUCCUUUAGCUACAAGAUGCGCCUUAUACCUCUCCACAUUACCAUUUGCAUCCCUUUUGAUUUCAAAUAUCUAUUUACAACCAAUUGGUUUUACUCCUUCAGGUAAUGGGACAAGUUCCCAAACUUUAUUGUAUUGCAUUGACUUAUACUCUUCUUUCAUGGUAUCAAUCUUUUUUUGAGAAUUAAAACUUUCAUGGCCUGGCGAAAGUUGAUUGGAUCAUUUUCCAUCAUUCCAUUGUCAUCCUCAUGUUAUUAGAGAAAUACAACAUAAUCAUUUGAAAUAACAUUUCUCCUCUUUUUCGUACCUCCUUAAUGGUACUUGUUCUUGAGGUUGUUGAGUUUGUUAUUCUAGAACAAUUACCUCUUCUUAAAUAGGAAGUUGUUCAACAUUAUCUUGUUAAGGUUCUUGAUUCACUUCUUGAUCAAUGAUUGGUAUGAAAACUUGAACAUCGUCAAAAGUGAUAGCUGAAACUAAGUUAGAAUCCAAUUCAUCCUCAAAACCAAUGUCUCUAACCUUAUUUCUCCUUUCAAACUCAACAUCCUCAAAAACUGUUGCAGUUCCUAUCUCAAAAAUAUUCCUAAUUGUGGGAUCAUAAAACUUAUAGCCCAUAGAUUGCUCAGAAUAACCAGUAAAGUAGUUGCUCACUAUUUUGGAGUCCAAUUUCUUUUCAUGUGGCCUAUAAGGCUUUGCCUCAACUGGACAUCCCCAAAUGUGAAAGUGUUUUAGAAUAGGCUUCCGACCUAUCUAAAGCUCAUAAGGUAUUUUUGCAGCUACUUAGUGGGUACUCUAUUCAAAAUGUAAGUUGAUGUCUUUAAUGCUUCUCCCCAAAGGGACUCAAGUAAGGUAAAAUGAGUUACAUGCUCCUUACCAUAUCCUUAAGAGUCCUAUUUUGUCUUUCAGCUACACCAUUCAUACUAGGUGAUCCUGACAUGGUGUAUUAUGGGACAAUAACACAUUCCUCUAGAAAUUUCAAAAAUGGUUUUGGACGUUAUUCACCUGAGCCAUCAUAUCUACUGUAGUACUCAGCACCACGAUCAGAUUUGACGUUCUUAAUCCUUUUGUUAAGUUGAUUUUCAACUUCAGCUUUAUAAGCUUUGAACACGUCCAGAGGCUAAGAUUUCUCAUGAAUGAGAUAUAGGUACCCAUAACGCGAGUAAUCGUCUAUGAAUGUUAUGAAAUAUUGUUAACCAUUCCAGGAUGUCAUAGGGAAUGACUCACAAAUAUCAGUAUGAAUUAAUUCUAAGAUACCUGAAGAUCUGUUGACACUCAAUCUCUUGGUUUUGGUCUGUUUUCCCUUGAUAGAAUCGACAUAGACAUCAAAGUCUAUGAAGUCAAGGGACUCUAAAAUGCCAUAAGACACAAGACACUCAACUCUACUAUUGACACCAUUUUUUUUGAUAAAACGGGGUCAACUUGGGUUUUAAAAAAUGAAAACAAAUGUGGGAGUCGCCACCAAUCUUUUUUGAUGAGGUGUGAUCGGGCCACUUCAAAAAUGGUUAUUUUAAUAUACGAUUUGAAAAAACAAUGAUUUUGGUCCACAAUAAAAAAAAAAGAAAUAAGUUCGAAAGUCGGUUGCAUACGAAGAAGGAUUAGCACCCUCGUAACGCCCAAAAUUGGUACCUAACUAAUUAAUUAGUGUCUUAGUGUCGAAAAUUAAAAAUUUUGAAGAGUUAAAAAAAAUAAAAAUAAUAAUACGAUCCUUUAUCAAAAUUUUAAAAAUUUAAAGAGAAAUGCAUGUUUUCACGUUAAUCGAGAAAAAGAAUAACAUUCCAUAAGUUAGGAUACAAUGUCUAAAAUUCCCAAUACGAGAAUGAAAGCCGAAAAAUUUAUUUAUUUUGAAAGAGUUCGAUUAUCUCGGGUGUAGGGCCCAAAUUUUGCCCGAGCCCGCAUAAAUAAAAAUGAAUAUAAAUUCAAAGUCUCAUAAACAGCCCAAAUCAACCUAGCCCAAAACCCUCUCUAAACCCGGUCCUAAGCCCAGCAAACCAACUCGGCCCAAUGCUAUGGCCCGAUUUUAAGAAAAUUCCAGAAAACACUUAGGGUUCCUGAAACCCUUUUGCGCCGCAAUCCAGGUUCUGCUUCGCGCGUGCUGCGCCACUGCCAAGCAUCGGCCUCCCCCACGCGCCUUUGUACACUCAAGCUGGACUUCUCCGUACCUGCAGUAAACAACAAGUCGACAGCAAAAUGGAACAAAAACAGCAAAAGAAGCCAGCAGAGAUAAAAAGGAAAGAAAUAAUGGAAAAAAGAAAAAAAAAACAUUUUGUAAUAUACGGUAAUAUAAAAGGCCGAUGGAUUCAUUCUUGUAAGGUUACGCAUUCAAUAUACGCAGAAAUAUUCAGAAUACAAAUAAAAUAUCAAGAGGUGAUUCCGAGUUUUCUUUUUUAGUAUUAGUUUCUUUUUCUUUUCUUUUCGUGUUCAUUAGGUAUUAUUUAGGAGAAUAAUCAGUAAGUGAAGAGGAAUUUACCUGGUGACCUCGUCCUCUUUCCUUCCGUCGUCAUCGGAGUGGAGUGGGGACUCGGAGGGACUGAGAGGCUGGUUCGUCGAGCGGCGCAGGGUAAACUUAGGUUUAGUUUUUUUUUCGUUUUAAAGAUGGAAAUGUUUAGUUUUUAGGGUAUUUUAGUUUUAAACCUGGGGAUUAGAACGUCGC